rnacentral:rRNA from 1 species
GACGAACGCUGGCGGCGUGCUUAAUACAUGCCAGUCGAACGGAAAGGCCAUGCUUUUGUGGGGUGCUCGAGUGGCGAACAGGUGAGUAACACGUGAGUAACCUGCCCCUGACUUUGGGAUAACUUCAGGAAAAUGGGGCUCAUACCGGAUAGGAGCUCCUGCUGCAUGGUGGGGGUUGGAAAGUUGCGGCGGUUGGGGAUGGACUCGCGGCUUAUCAGCUUGUUGGUGGGGUAGUGGCUUACCAAGGCUUUGACGGGUAGCCGGCCUGGGAGGGUGACCGGCCACAAUGGGACUGAGAGACGGCGCAGACUCCUACGGGAGGCAGCAGUGGGGAAUAUUGCAGAGUGGGCGGACGCCUGAUGCAGCAACGCCGCGUGCGGGAUAACGUCCUUCGGGUUGUAAACCGCUUUCGCCUGUGAUGAAGCGUGAGUGACGGUAAUGGGUAAGGAAGCACCGGCUAACUACGUG